ACCUGCGAAGCAGAGAAGCUAAACAACCAAAUGCAUUCUUACAUCCUUAACAUAUUGGAAUCAGACAAAAGGAAGUUAACAGCAUAGAUCCACUGUAAGUACAUCGAUGGUAGAAAGGAAAACAGUAGACCAAACACAAAUGGGUGUUAGAGAGUGCUUGAGGAUAGUUUAUUGGUGAUGCGGAAGAUUGAGAACGCGGCUAUCGGACCCAAUAACCUGCCUAAGAAUAAGGAGAUGUGAAAUGUUUCAACCCUCACCCAAAGCACUCCUUAAAGAACCUUUCCGCUGAAGAGCAGCAUAGUUCAAUGGUAUCACGACAUUGCCUCUUUAUUUUUUGCUUCCAGAAAUAGCAGAACUUCCAGAUGUACUCCCAAUCCCUCGACCAAUUAGAGUUUUAGUCACAUGGUCUGUGUUAAGACUCUGUCCCAAUGGCUUCUUCUUUGCACACUUUGUAACAUAUACUUUGCUUCUUUUUCUUUAGCAAACUGACCUUGUAGUCAUGUGUGCUCCUG